rnacentral:rRNA from 1 species
GAUGAACGCUGACAGAAUGCUUAACACAUGCAAGUCUUUGGCGAAUCUGUGCUUGCACAGGCUAGCCAAGGCGGACGGGUGAGUAACGCGUAAAGAACUUGCCCUGCAGACAGGGAUAACAGACGGAAACGACUGAUAACACCUGAUACAGUUGCCGGCACGCAUGUGCCAGGCAAUGAAAAGAGAUGCUGCAGGCGAGCUUUGCGUCCUAUUAGCUUGUUGGUGAGGUGACGGCUCACCAAGGCGAUGAUAGGUAGCCGGCCUGAGAGGGUGAACGGCCACAAGGGGUCUGAGAUACGGCCCUUGCUCCUACGGGAGGCAGCAGUGGGGAAUAUUGGACGAUGGGGGCAACCCUGAUCCAGCAAUUCUGUGUGCACGAAGAAGGUUUUCGGAUUGUAAAGUGCUUUCAGCAGGGAAGAAGAAAGUGACGGUACCUGCAGAAGAAGCGACGGCUAAAUACGUG